rnacentral:tRNA from 1 species
GGCGUAGCGCAGUUGGUAGCGCACCUGGUUUGGGACCAGGAUGUCGCAGGUUCGAGUCCUGUCGCC